UGGGAAUGUUUGUUUUUUAAACUAUUGACCAGGGUGAAAGUCUUUGAAAGUGAUGACUGGCAAAAAGUCUGUGAAAUGAAAUAGCACAAAUAUUCCAUUCUUUUUAAAUAUUAUUGUAUAUAAAGAAAAACACAUACUGAUGUUUAAUAAUAGUUUUUACCCUUUUUAUGUUUAGGACAUAGGACAAGAAAUAUAGAAAAAUAAUGAAAAAUAUAAACAGUUACAAUAAAAAUGAGUGGCAAAACAAGAUAAACAGAAUACAACAAGGCCUAAAUGGUAAGACCACUUCUAUAUACUGUAAAUUCAGAAAUUAUUGCUUGCAUUUAUUAUUGUGAUUUUUCACGAAUGGACAACUUAUUGUGAUUACAAAAAAAAUCUGCAUAAAGAUCUAUAUAUAUAUAUAUAUAUAUAUAUCAAAAUAUGAGUUCUUAUUUUUGCGAUACUCACCAGUCACAUUAUUCGCAUUACUAAAAACCUCUCGAUAAUUUCUGAAUUACAGUAAUAAAAGUAAUUGCCUUUGAAUGAUGACUCAUAUAAAAAUAAGAAGAUGUGGUAUGGUAAAUGAGUGACUUAUCCACCAGAGUUCAAUGAAGUGGAUGCAAGAAAUUAAAGGCCAAUGAUGGGCCGGCCUUCAAUAAUGAGAAAACACUUCCUUUAUAGGUCAGCCAAUAAAGAUCCCAACAUGAAAAGAUUUAAACAAUCCAAUUUAGUUCAACAUGUUCAAAGUCAAUAACAAACAAAAAAAAAUCAUGUCUGUGAGCACUCAACCUUACCAUAAUAUAGGACAGUGGUUCAAAUUACACAACAUAUGAACAUUCUAUAACAACUAUUGCAAGUGGCUCAACUUUAAAUAUCACUGCAAGGCACUAAACAACGAAUAUUAAAUCUUGGACACAAAGCACUGAAAUAAGAGAACUCAUAAGUACGAAUAUCAAAUGAAAGUUUCUCAAAAUGUUCAUUAAAACAUGAUAAAAUAAGCUUAUUUAUAUUGCUGUUUUUUUGUCCAUUUAAACAUUUUUUUUUAAUUUUGUGUAUUUAUAGGUCAGAUAUCUUGGUUUUUAUGAUCAUCAACAGGUCCUGCAGG
rnacentral:lncRNA from 1 species